rnacentral:misc_RNA from 1 species
ACUAACUUGACAGUUCUCUCUCUAAGUUUCUAAAGAGAGAUUUUUCUCUCUAGUCGGGUGUUCUCUUUUGCUCUAAAGGAUAAAUCCACUCUGUUCCUGCCGUGCUUAAGUUGUCCCCUGCCCCUUUCGGAUGGGGGACGACUCCUUGCUCCACCUAGAGUAUUGUGUUUUCUCCCUCUCCCACAUUGGGUGAGUGUAAAUACUCUAUUUUUGAGUUUAACUGUAGAUCUAGUGCUCAUGUUGAGGGAUCUCUAUGGCGAAUUUGCCUUCCUUUUGUCUUCUUGUUUUAAUAGUGGUGCAUACUUGUAAUUAAGUUGUCAGAGGAGUUGCUACAGAAUCUCUUUUUGCCAACCUUAAUUUCUUAUAUUUGUGGAGGGUCUAUAUGUUUGGCUUGUGGUAGGCAUCUCCUAUGUCUUUCAGCCUACUUGGUUCAUGGAGGCCGACCCUCAAGGCUCAUAAAAUGCUGGUGAACUCUAUCUAUUGGCCCUCCAAAGGUUUCCAUUCAAGUGCCCUAUUUUUGCUGCCCAUGAGCUUCUAUUUGUUUUGAUCGGUUCUUAUUUGAUUGAAUAUGGAGGAGGAUCCCUGUAGGGAAAUCUCUUGGCUUGUUGUUGCUUUCUCAGCCUUGCAUGAUGCAGAUGGUUGGCCCUGGCACUUCUGGUUUUGCUUCACCUCUCUUGAAGGAUGGGCGGCUGCUUCUUCUUUUUUAGCUGGAUCCUUUGAUUCGGGUCUCUAACUUGCAUGGGUUAGUUUUACUUUGUUGGCUUUGGGCUUUUUUAUUGUUAGGCCUAGUCUCUUUCUUUCAUGUUAGAACCCUUUGUCUUCGUGCGGCUCAUGGGCU